rnacentral:rRNA from 1 species
AUUGAACGCUAGCGGCAGGCCUUACACAUGCAAGUCGAGCGGAGUGGCGGACGGGUGAGUAAUAUAUCGGAAUGUGCCCGGUAGCGGGGGAUAACUACUGGACACUGUGGCUAAUUCCGCAUACUAUAGGAUAGGCCGAUAUCGGAUUAGCUAGUUGGUGGGGUAAAGGCUCACCAAGGCAACGAUCUGUAGCUGGUCUGAGAGGAUGACCAGCCACAAUGGAACUGAGACACGGCCCAGACUCAUACGGGAGGCAGCAGUGGGGAAUAUUGGACAAUGGGCGAAAGCCUGAUCCAGCCAUGCCGCGUGUAUGAAGAAGGCCUUCGGGUUGUAAAGUACUUUAAGCUGAGAGGCGGUAACUGCAGAAUAAGCACCGGCUAACUACGUGCCAGCAGCCGCGGUAAUUC